CCCGAAGCGGAAACUUUACAGCGCCGUCCCCGGCCGCAAGUUCAUCGCCGUGAAGGCGCACAGCCCGCAGGGUGAAGGCGAGAUCCCGCUGCACCGCGGCGAGGCCGUAAAGGGCUUCUGUCGCUGGGGCUUCCUGUGUUCUGGGGGGAUCGCGUGCCAUGACAAACCCCUCUCAUUCUGGGGGUCUCGGGGCCAUCACUGGGCUCCUAGCCUCAGGGCCGGCUGAGGUGGAAACAGCCCAGCUGGUGCAUCACGUGGCCUCACCCACUGGCCACUGCACGAUGACCCCAAGCUCUCGGCAGUGACCCCUGGUGCUCAGCAUUGGGGAGGGCGGUUUCUGGGAGGGAACCGUGAAGGGCCGCACGGGCUGGUUC
rnacentral:lncRNA from 1 species